rnacentral:rRNA from 1 species
UAAUACAGAGGGUGCAAGCGUUAAUCGGAAUUACUGGGCGUAAAGCGCGCGUAGGCGGCUGAUUAAGUCGGAUGUGAAAGCCCCGGGCUCAACCUGGGAACUGCAUUCGAUACUGAUCGGCUAGAGUAUGAGAGAGGGAGGUAGAAUUCCACGUGUAGCGGUGAAAUGCGUAGAUAUGUGGAGGAAUACCGGUGGCGAAGGCGGCCUCCUGGUUCAAUACUGACGCUGAGGUGCGAAAGCGUGGGGAGCAAACAGG